ACUCAUCAUGGGGUGGUGUGUCUGUUUUUGUGUUGGCAGUUGUUGGAAAGCUUCCAGAAAUCCUUCCCAAACCUUACUUUCCCACCACUUCCGGAUCGUGGUGACUUUGAUCUGAGCGAAGUCCUCAAGUCUCCUUAUUUCUUCAACUAGUCUGCGUCAGAUAGAUUGCUCGUCAUUGCCUGUCCAUUUGAAGACCAUCCUACAGCACUUAUUCUACCUUCGAGGGAUAAGCAGCGGGGAAUCAUCAUGGUCCUCAACUCUCCCGGCCUUCGGUUUGUUGUAAAUAUACAAAGAGAAGAAUGCUGCUAACUUGGCAGGAGGGUUUGGCUCAUAUCAUAUUAUCCUCCAGAGUCGCAAAGAAAAGGACUCAUCUUCAGGAUAGUGAUUCUCGGGCGGGGAAGCCUUUUGAUCAGUGAGGCCAUGCAAGGAAGGGAAGAGGAGGAAAAGAUCGGAUUGUGUUUCUAUUCUUCAGGGUCUGCACUGUUGGUAUGCAGGCUGGUAAGUUUUGUAAGGAAUGUAUGGAUCUUGUUGGAUCUUGUUGGGUAUAAUUAUAUCCACAAGCUGUUCGGUCCUUACCUAUUGGUAUAAUGUAAUUGUAGCUCAAAUUCCACAGCCAAGAGAUCUUGUGCUAAAGUAGAGUUAACAGGUUCA